ACGACAACAACGACCGAGCACGACGCUGCGUUGGGUGCAACUCGAGUUUAGCUCUCAGACACAUUCGACGAGUUCGCGUCGCGUUCAACACAAACAAAACAACAACAACAAAAACAAAACAAACAGAUACAAAUAAAACAAAACAAACAACAAAUUCAAGACAAACACAAACAUAAAUAGCAAACGGCAAAGCCGCAAGAAGCGCCAAAGGGAGCAGCAGCUGCCACUUCUACAACAAAAAAUAUAAAAACAAAAACCAAAAAAAAAGAAACGAAAAUCGAAAUCAAAUUCCAAAUCAAAAUCAAAUUUCAAGAGAUCGAGACAUUGGACAGGUGUCUGCCGAAGCAAUCGGAUUUUGAUUAAUCACAGCUACCAGUUGACAAGUGCCACAGCGCGAGGCUUUACAAUUUUUAUGGUGAUGUGAUUGAAGUUCAAUAGCCAAACAAGCAGACGCCAAGCAAAAGGUAAG